GAUGAACGCUGGCGGCGUGCCUAAUACAUGCAAGUCGAGCGAACGGACGAGAAGCUUGCUUCUCUGAUGUUAGCGGCGGACGGGUGAGUAACACGUGGAUAACCUACCUAUAAGACUGGGAUAACUUCGGGAAACCGGAGCUAAUACCGGAUAAUAUUUUGAACCGCAUGGUUCAAAAGUGAAAGACGGUCUUGCUGUCACUUAUAGAUGGAUCCGCGCUGCAUUAGCUAGUUGGUAAGGUAACGGCUUACCAAGGCAACGAUGCAUAGCCGACCUGAGAGGGUGAUCGGCCACACUGGAACUGAGACACGGUCCAGACUCCUACGGGAGGCAGCAGUAGGGAAUCUUCCGCAAUGGGCGAAAGCCUGACGGAGCAACGCCGCGUGAGUGAUGAAGGUCUUCGGAUCGUAAAACUCUGUUAUUAGGGAAGAACAUAUGUGUAAGUAACUGUGCACAUCUUGACGGUACCUAAUCAGAAAGCCACGGCUAACUACGUGCCAGCAGCCGCGGUAAUACGUAGGUGGCAAGCGUUAUCCGGGAUUAUUGGGCGUAAAGCGCGCGUAGGCGGUUUUUUAAGUCUGAUGUGAAAGCCCACGGCUCAACCGUGGAGGGUCAUUGGAAACUGGAAAACUUGAGUGCAGAAGAGGAAAGUGGAAUUCCAUGUGUAGCGGUGAAAUGCGCAGAGAUAUGGAGGAACACCAGUGGCGAAGGCGACUUUCUGGUCUGUAACUGACGCUGAUGUGCGAAAGCGUGGGGAUCAAACAGGAUUAGAUACCCUGGUAGUCCACGCCGUAAACGAUGAGUGCUAAGUGUUAGGGGGUUUCCGCCCCUUAGUGCUGCAGCUAACGCAUUAAGCACUCCGCCUGGGGAGUACGACCGCAAGGUUGAAACUCAAAGGAAUUGACGGGGACCCGCACAAGCGGUGGAGCAUGUGGUUUAAUUCGAAGCAACGCGAAGAACCUUACCAAAUCUUGACAUCCUUUGACAACUCUAGAGAUAGAGCCUUCCCCUUCGGGGGACAAAGUGACAGGUGGUGCAUGGUUGUCGUCAGCUCGUGUCGUGAGAUGUUGGGUUAAGUCCCGCAACGAGCGCAACCCUUAAGCUUAGUUGCCAUCAUUAAGUUGGGCACUCUAAGUUGACUGCCGGUGACAAACCGGAGGAAGGUGGGGAUGACGUCAAAUCAUCAUGCCCCUUAUGAUUUGGGCUACACACGUGCUACAAUGGACAAUACAAAGGGCAGCGAAACCGCGAGGUCAAGCAAAUCCCAUAAAGUUGUUCUCAGUUCGGAUUGUAGUCUGCAACUCGACUACAUGAAGCUGGAAUCGCUAGUAAUCGUAGAUCAGCAUGCUACGGUGAAUACGUUCCCGGGUCU
rnacentral:rRNA from 1 species